GAUAAGACAAGACAAGACAAUGCCACUGCACCCGACGAGGUCCCUGAUUGACGGUUGCUGACCAAGUGCAACCUUUGGCUUCUCCGACAAACACGACAAGGCACACGCUGCGUUAUCACAGUAAGGGUCCAGAGAAGGCGUGAAGAGACUCAGGCAGCAAGACAGAGGAAUGCCAAUCAAGGCCCACCAACUUUGACUGGGGCGGGCCCAUUGCGAGUAGGGAUCGAGCACGAUUGUAAGAUUCGAUCAUAGGAACCCCAUCAGCCGUAUCGUGACGUAACCGUAGACGACGAGCACUUCGGUUUGGUUGGGAACUAAACCGGAUCAACAUGUCAUCAACAACGUAUCCAACACGCUGGUCUUCGAGCUCUUCGAAGAGGAUGAACUUCUCGCGGCCGAAAAGCGUGUUCCACAUGUGCAGCGGACGGCUCGUGGAGCGUCGACGGUCCUGACCCGAGACAGAGAAGUCGAACGUAAGGUCGACGUGAUCCACGCCCUCCCGCUGCGAGGCCACCCGGAUCAAGCACUGCGCGAUCGUAACAGUUACUCUUAUGGCAACUGUCCAUUCUGGCCACAUCCACGACCUUGGACUGGACGAAAAAAGCCAUGUGCGUGCCAGCACCGCAUCCGAUGCCGUACAGGUUAGCCUGCAGCCUGAACUUGCAGCCGGCCAGGCCGAAGAAGAUUGGCUCGCU